AAUAAAGAGGAGGGAUUUGACUGAUUGCAACCUCUGUUUUUGCCUGCGGGUCUAGACAAAAAAAUGCUAAAGCAGUUGAU
rfam:Maribacter sedimenticola strain DSM 19840 genome assembly, contig: Ga0070243_107